rnacentral:lncRNA from 1 species
GGUAAUGAGAAACUUCUCAAUGAAAGGUUAAUAAGAAAGAAUGGAUAGGAUCUCUCAUACAAAAGGCAAUGAGAAACUUCUCAACGAAAGGUUAAGAAGAAAGAUGAAUGAGAUUUAUCAUACGAAAGACAAUGAGAAACUUCUCAAUAAAAGGUUAAGAAGAAGGCUAGCAAGGAUUUCUCCUACAAAAGGUAAUGAGAAACUUCUCAACGAAAGGUUAAGAAGAGGGAUGAAAGGGAUGGUUAUCUCAUACCAAAGGUAGAAACUGAUCCUUAUCAAGAGAAGAUCUCCAAUGCAAAAGG